CUGUUCUCCGAAAUUCCACCAUCCACGACUCCUAUGGCUUCCCUGAUCCCAUGUACAAGCUGAAAUAUGAAGCACCUGGAGCUAUUGAAUUGGGGAAGAGGGUAAAAGAAUUGUUAAUGGGAGAAGGAGGAAUGAAACGUGUUGAUGAAGA